GAACAGGUGAGAAAUCUUCUGUUGUAUUUUACAUGAUGUUUUUCAUCAGGAGUGAGGAAAACUUAUUUCAGCCACCCCUUUUUUUGCAUCCGUGGGCUAGCUGGUCUGCCAAAAUUCACAGAAACCUUUCUCAGACGCUGCUUCAUCUUUGGAUUUGGAGUGAUAAUAUACAUCUACACUGCGGAUGCAGUGCAUCGAAAGACAACAGCUGAGGGGGUUACUGGAGGUUCUGUUCUCUUGCCAUGUUUCACGAAUAAAAGUGAGCACAAACUUCAAGACAUUGAAGUGACUUGGAGAUAUAAUGACAAACAGAAUGUGUAUGAAAUAAUUAAGGGGAAGAGUUCAGUAAAAGAUCAGGACCAAAAGUACAAGAACAGAAUUGACACUUUCCCUGAGGAGUUUGCGAAAGGAAACUUCUCGCUCCAACUCAACAGUCUUACACAUAGUGAUGCCGGAGAGUAUCACUGCUUCAUCAAACAUUCACAUGAAGCUGUGACCAUAAAACUUCACAUUAUUGAAUCAACAGGAGAAAAAGACAAUCUAUUGUGGUUGAAGAUUUCAAUUCCUGUACUUUUUUGUGUUUUGGUGCUGACAGGUUGUGUAUUUAAAAAAUGGUGUUUUAAUGCUGCCAGAUGGGAUAUCCGCUCCUGGAGGGUUAGAUAGAACACUUUGUCAGACCCACACAACAACAGAAUAGGUUGUUUGUCAACUUACAAGACCCCUAGAAAUGUUAAAUAAGAGCUUUUGAUGGCUUUAAAGUUUUAUGGGGUUUUCGUCUGAUGUAACGUAAAAACGUUUACACAUUACUUUAUGUACUGCAUGAACAAACCCACAACUUGAUUGGUACCAAAACAUUAUUUAAAUUUAAAGUUCAGUCAACUUAUAAAUAUGUUUUUUCAGUUUAUGUUCAGAUUUAAACGGUAUGUUUUAUCUGACCUGAAGUGUUUGACGUUUCUGUCAUGAUUCUUCCUCAUCAUGUCAUGUUUUCUUGAUCAUGGCAGGAUCCCUUGUUUAAUGUGGAGAGAGGUAUUUUGACCCAUUGGCUGUUCCAUAUGCUCUCUCGGGUCUCUUCUCUGUUCCCACCAUCUUGUCUCCUCCUUAUUGAUUGUUUUUGCUCAUGCCCCAUACCUGUCCCUCUUGAUUCGCUCCCCUUUAAAAUGCCCUCGUGUAUAUUAUCCUGUGCUCGUUCGUUUUGCUUGUUUUGGAUGUUUGAUUUCUACAGUCUUGUUUGUCUUUGCUGUGUUAAACUUACUCGUUGAAUUACCUUACACAUAGGAUGUUCAUUGUUAUCUAGGCGUGUCUUAGUUUUUUGUAAGUUGUUACUAUGCUCUCUCUAUUGUUUUUGCCCCCUUGUAGGGAGUCUUUGUUUUUGUACUUUUGUUAAAUAACUAUAUCUUUGUUAACCCCUCCACCGCUUCUGCCGGCGCUUGGGUUCUCUCCCCUCUUGAAUUUGUAACAGUUUCCCCACAAACUAAAGAAGAGCUUGAAAAAUCAAUAAGAUGCGAUUUAUUUUGCCACCAUUUUAGUUGUUCUGUUACCUGAAACUCUGGUGGAAAGCAGUCCCUUCACAAGUAUUACAGCCCCUUCAUGUCCAUCUUAAAUAAAAUGUCUGUGAGUGUUGGCCUAAUGGG